GACGGAGGAUGCAAGCGUUAUCCGGAAUGAUUGGGCGUAAAGCGUCUGCAGGUGGCAGUUCAAGUCUGCUGUCAAAGACCGGGGCUUAACUUCGGAAAGGCAGUGGAAACUGAACAGCUAGAGUAUGGUAGGGGCAGAGGGAAUUCCUGGUGUAGCGGUGAAAUGCGUAGAGAUCAGGAAGAACAUCGGUGGCGAAGGCGGAUCUCUGGGCCGAUACUGACGCUGAGGAGCGAAAGCGUGGGGAGCGAACAGG
rnacentral:rRNA from 1 species